GCCUCGCUGGUGUAGUGGUAGUACACGCGUCCCCGGUAUGGUGGAAACGCGGGUUCGAUUCCCGCCUGAGGCC